UCCGAUAUGGUGUAGUGGCUAACAUUAUCGCCUCUCAUUUCUGGAGUGCGCGAUAGCCCGGGGUUCGAUUCCCCGUGUCGGAA